GUCGUCAGCUCGUGUCGUGAGAUGUUGGGUUAAGUCCCGCAACGAGCGCAACCCCUGCAUUCAGUUGCCAACGGUAAGGCCGGGCACUCUGGAUGGACUGCCGGCGACAAGCCGGAGGAAGGUGGGAUGACGUCAAGUCAUCAUGGCCCUUAUGUCCAGGGCGACACACGUGCUACAAUGGCCGGCACAGCGGGAAGCGAGGGGGCGACCUUGAGCGGAUCCCUCAAAGCCGGUCUCAGUUCGGAUUGCAGUCUGCAACUCGACUGCAUGAAGUUGGAAUCGCUAGUAAUCGUGGACUCAGCCAAGCCGCGGUGAAUACGUUCCGGGCCUU
rnacentral:rRNA from 1 species